CAAGAAAUGUACACACAUGCAGUGACUGAUGAAAUUGUGAAGUGACGCGAAGCAGUUAAGCAUACUUACAGAUUUUUCAUGACAUCCAGUCCAAUAAAUGUCUGAUCUCCAAUAACUUGGAUUUUGUUGUCACUUAGGUCUCUAGAAAUAAAGAUACAUCUUGUGAUGGUGACAUCCUAAGAUGGAAGCAGAGACAACAGAAGAUUGACCUUGGCAAACAAGUGAUACCCUUUUCCGGAAGAGGGAGGAGAAUGAUCCAUCAAAGAGAUGAUUAUCUGCUUAUCUCCCUCCUACGAUUUGUCCUUACAGCUUUGAUGGAUGCUGUAUCACCUAAGACAAGACACAGAAGCACCGUGGGUACAAAUAUAUUGAUAUAGAAAGAAGAUAAUGAUCAUAACAAAAAAACCUUUUAUUUUCUUAAAACUGUUAAUUUUUAAUUAAUUGAUUGUUUUAAAGUCAGAAAAUUCAUAGCAAAUUAGUUGACCCUGCAUGCAUGAUUUUAUGUAUCUUUAACUUUCAUAUUUUCACCAUGCCCUAAAGGCAUGUCUGUAUCUGCCAUGGAAUGUUUACUGAUCUGUGUGUUGAAUUUUAAAUUUAUUCUGUAUAAAGCUUUAAAAGGUAUUAUAAUUGACAAGUGCUUGAGGCAAGAUUACACUUUCAUUCAGAAUCAUUGCAGUAGUAAGUGUCAGUUGAAGGAACAUGUCACACAAAGUCAGUGUUGAUUCUUUGCAGCUUCAUUUCUUAACCAGGUGGUAAACCUGCUUGCUCAC